UAAGCGGAGGAAAAGAAACUAACAAGGAUUCCCCUAGUAACUGCGAGUGAAGCGGGAAAAGCUCAAAUUUGGAAUCUGGUGGUCUUUGGCCAUCCGAGUUGUAAUUUAGAGAAGCGUCUUCCGCGCUGGACCGUGCACAAGUCUCCUGGAAUGGAGCGUCAUAGAGGGUGAGAAUCCCGUCUUUGGCAUGGAAUCCCAGGGCUUCUGUGAUGCGCUCUCGACGAGUCGAGUUGUUUGGGAAUGCAGCUCAAAAUGGGUGGUGAACUCCAUCUAAAGCUAAAUAUUGGCGAGAGACCGAUAGCGAACAAGUACCGUGAGGGAAAGAUGAAAAGCACUUUGGAAAGAGAGUGAAACAGUACGUGAAAUUGUUGAAAGGGAAACGCUUGAAGUCAGUCGCGUCGACCGAGACUCAGCCUUGCCUCGGCUUGGUGUACUUCUCGGCUUGACGGGUCAGCAUCGAUUUCAAUCCUCGGAUAAUGGCAAGGGAAAGGUAGCACCUUUUUAGGUGUGUUAUAGUCCUCUGUCGCAUGCGAGGGUCGGGAUCGAGGAACUCAGCACGCACCUCAGGGUGUCGGGGCCUUGGCCCACGUUUACGUGCUUAGGAUGCUGGCGUAAUGGCCUUAAACGACC
rnacentral:rRNA from 1 species